UGGGGAAUUUUGGACAAUGGGCGAAAGCCUGCUCCAGCAAUCCCGCGCGUGUGAAGAAGGCCUUCGGGUUGUAAAGCACUUUUGUCCGGAAAGAAAUGGCUCUGGUUAAUACCUGGGGUCGAUGACGGUACCGGAAGAAUAAGGACCGGCUAACUACGUGCCAGCAGCCGCGGUAAUACGUAGGGUCCAAGCGUUAAUCGGAAUUACUGGGCGUAAAGCGUGCGCAGGCGGUUGUGCAAGACCGAUGUGAAAUCCCCGAGCUUAACUUGGGAAUUGCAUUGGUGACUGCACGGCUAGAGUGUGUCAGAGGGGGGUAGAAUUCCGCAUGUAGCAGUGAAAUGCGUAGAGGUGUGGAGAAAUACCGAUGGCGAAGGCAGCCCCCUGGGAUAACACUGACGCUCAUGCACGAAAGCGUGGGGAACAAACAGG
rnacentral:rRNA from 1 species